rnacentral:rRNA from 1 species
GACGAACGUUGGCGGCGUGCUUAACACAUGCAAGUCGAACGGAAAGGCCCUGCUUUUGUGGGGUGCUCGAGUGGCGAACGGGUGAGUAACACGUGAGUAACCUGCCCUUGACUUUGGGAUAACUUCAGGAAACUGGGGCUAAUACCGGAUAGGAGCUCCUGCUGCAUGGUGGGGGUUGGAAAGUUUCGGCGGUUGGGGAUGGACUCGCGGCUUAUCAGCUUGUUGGUGGGGUAGUGGCUUACCAAGGCUUUGACGGGUAGCCGGCCUGAGAGGGUGACCGGCCACAUUGGGACUGAGAUACGGCCCAGACUCCUACGGGAGGCAGCAGUGGGGAAUAUUGCACAAUGGGCGGAAGCCUGAUGCAGCAACGCCGCGUGCGGGAUGACGGCCUUCGGGUUGUAAACCGCUUUCGCCUGUGACGAAGCGUGAGUGACGGUAAUGGGUAAAGAAGCACCGGCUAACUACGUGCCAGCAGCCGCGGUGAUACGUAGGGUGCGAGCGUUGUCCGGAUUUAUUGNGCGUAAAGGGCUCGUAGGUGGUUGAUCGCGUCGGAAGUGUAAUCUUGGGGCUUAACCCUGAGCGUGCUUUCGAUACNGGUUGACUUGAGGAAUGGAGGGGAGAACGGAACCCCCGGNGGAGCGGNGGAACGCGCAGAAANCAGGAGGAACACCAGCGGCGAAGGCGGNNCCCCGGGCCCNACCCGACGCCGAGGAGCGAAAGCGCGGGGAGCGAACAGGCACAGAAACCCCGGNAGCCCACGCGGCAAACGGCGGGCACCAGGUGUGGGGUCCACACCACGGNGCCCGAGCCGCAGCCAACGCAACAAGCACCCCGCCCGGGGAGNACGGCCGCAAGGCCAAAACCCAAAGGAANNGACGGGGCCCCGCACAAGCGGCGGAGCANGCGGAANNAAACGANGCAACGCGGAGAACCCNACCCGGGNNAGACAAGGAGCGGGAGCGCACAGAGAAGGGCGCGCCCCNCCCGGGGACGGCCCACAGGAGGAGCAAGGCCGCCGCCAGCCCGCGGCGAGAGAAGNGGGGANAAGNCCCGCAACGAGCGCAACCNCGGCCCACAGCAGCCAGCACGAAAGGGAGGGGACACAGAGGAGACCGCCGGGGCCAACCCGGAGGAAGGGGGGGANGACGNCAAGACACCAGGCCCCCCACGACCAGGGCACCACGCACGCAACAAAGGCCGGAACAGAGAGCGCCGAGCCGGCGAGGGCGAGCGAACCCCCGAAAGCCGGCCCCAGNCCGGAAAGGGGCCAGCAACCCGACCACCAGAAAGCCGAACCGCCAAAAACCCCAGAACCACCACGCGGCCGGAGAAAACGCACCCCGGGCCA